GGCACAUCUCUAAAUAUAAUGCAUUAGAGGCCCGGAAUCGCAUGUCCUCAUCUAGGUUGUAUCUUCAUCUUAAGGCCGCCGCUUUUUCCGAGAUGAAAGUCGAUGCUAACGCCAUGGACGUUACAAGGUUUCAUCUUGCUCUUCUUUACUUCCUGUUAAUUCGUGAUUUCCCCACUCCUCAGCAUUCAAUCCGACUCCUUCUCUUCCCGUAGCUACUCACUAGAGCUUCCAGCUUUUACCAACGUAAUGCGGUGAACAAGCAUUGAAGACUUUCACCCAAACGGUGGAAUCAAGAAAUUCAAAUCUUCUGUCUACUCCAACUUUAUAUUUUCCUUUAGUCUAAAUCAAAACUGGUUCUCCAAUCCAAUCGUUCUCAAAGUCAUGUCGCUCAUACAACAAGGUGAGAUGGCUUUGUCUGCAAAUCGGUUUCAAAGGUUACGAGAAGUAGCUCGAGGUCAUCUUUCAAGACUCCAAGGGAUUUGGUCUCUGUGCUCUGAUCAAGUCGCAGUUGGACUAAAAACUCACUCCUGCUGUAUGUGCGAUCGUGCUCUGGGUCCAGUUUCUUUGUCUACCUCCACAAAGUCAUCAUCAAGACUUCUUCAUCUUCACAUCUAAGUGAGAGCGGGAGCAAGGCUGCAGACCCAGUUGGGACAUCACCAGAGCCUACAACUAAGAAGCCAAUGAGGUGUACCAAUCUUGAGUAGACGUUGUAGUGGCUCUCAAUUAUCGUUCAGCCCAGCUGUCAUCUAUCAUAUUUUCAUAGUUUAUGCUUCCAGUUUAAUAAUUGUAAGGCUUAUUAGGUCUCUGUAUAUGCAAAUAUUUGGGCUUUGAUAUUUUAAAAUUAAACACUUAUACACCUAAGUGAGUCAAGAACACAA